GUUCCCGUGGUGUAGUGGGAACGAGCCUGUCUAUUGAGUAGGGGUCGUGAGUUCGAGUCUCACCGAGAGGA
rnacentral:tRNA from 1 species